UGAUUAUGAUGCUCUGGAUGUUGCCAACAAGAUUGGGAUCAUCUAAACUGAGUCCAGAUGACUAAUUCUAAAUAUACACUUUUUUUCAAUCGGAAGAGCGGGU